UAAUACGUAGGAGGCAAGCGUUAUCCGGAUUUAUUGGGCGUAAAGCGCGUGCAGGUGGUUUGGUAAGUUGGGUAUGAAAUCUUCUGGCUUAACUGGGAGAGGUUGCUCAAAACUGCCAGACUAGAGGACGGUAGAGGGAGGUGGAAUUCCCGGUGUAGUAGUGAAAUGCGUAGAUAUCGGGAGGAACACCAGUGGCGAAGGCGGCCUCCUGGGCCGUCCCUGACACUAAGACGCGAAAGCAUGGGUAGCAAACGGGAUUAGAAACCCCGGUAGUCCAUGCCGUAAACGAUGUGGACUUGAUGUCGGUAACGUAAUAGUUAUCGGUGUCGUAGUUAACGCGAUAAGUCCACCGCCUGGGGAGUACGAUCGCAAGGUUA
rnacentral:rRNA from 1 species